AGAGUUUGAUCAUGGCUCAGGAUGAACGCUGGCGGCGUGCCUAACACAUGCAAGUCGAGCGAUUUACUUCGGUAAAGAGCGGCGGACGGGUGAGUAACGCGUGGGUAACCUGCCUCAUACACAUGGAUAACAUACCGAAAGGUAUGCUAAUACAAGAUGGUAUAAGAGAUUCGCAUGGAUUUCUUAUCAAAGCUUUUGCGGUAUGAGAUGGACCCGCGUCUGAUUAGCUAGUUGGUAAGGUAACGGCUUACCAAGGCGACGAUCAGUAGCCGACCUGAGAGGGUGAUCGGCCACAUUGGAACUGAGACACGGUCCAAACUCCUACGGGAGGCAGCAGUGGGGAAUAUUGCACAAUGGGCGAAAGCCUGAUGCAGCAACGCCGCGUGAGCGAUGAAGGCCUUCGGGUCGUAAAGCUCUGUCCUCAAGGAAGAUAAUGACGGUACUUGAGGAGGAAGCCCCGGCUAACUACGUGCCAGCAGCCGCGGUAAUACGUAGGGGGCUAGCGUUACCCGGAUUUACUGGGCGUAAAGGGUGCGUAGGUGGUUUCUUAAGUCAGGAGUGAAAGGCUACGGCUCAACCGUAGUAAGCUCUUGAAACUGGGAAACUUGAGUGCAGGAGAGGAAAGUGGAAUUCCUAGUGUAGCGGUGAAAUGCGUAGAUAUUAGGAGGAACACCAGUAGCGAAGGCGGCUUUCUGGACUGUAACUGACACUGAGGCACGAAAGCGUGGGGAGCAAACAGGAUUAGAUACCCUGGUAGUCCACGCCGUAAACGAUGAGUACUAGGUGUCGGGGGUUACCCCCCUCGGUGCCGCAGCU
rnacentral:rRNA from 1 species